rnacentral:rRNA from 1 species
CUGCCUACGGGAGGCAGCAGUGGGGGAUAUUGCACAAUGGGGGAAACCCUGAUGCAGCGACGCCGCGUGGGUGAGGAAGUAUUUCGGUAUGUAAAGCCCUAUCAGCAGGGAAGAAGAUGACAGUACCUGACUAAGAAGCCCCGGCUAACUACGUGCCAGCAGCCGCGGUAAUACGUAGGGGGCAAGCGUUAUCCGGAUUUACUGGGUGUAAAGGGGGCGCAGACGGCAGCGCAAGCCAGGAGUGAAAGCCCGGGGCCCAACCCCGGGACUGCUCUUGGAACUGCGCGGCUGGAGUGCAGGAGGGG